UAGCUGAACGGCAAAGCGCUUGGCUUCCAAACUAGAAUUCUCAGGUUCGAAUUCUGG
rnacentral:tRNA from 1 species